GCCGGUCUAAGUCCCUUGGAACAGGGCGUCAUAGAGGGUGAGAAUCCCGUAUGUGACCGGUGACCAACCCCAUGUGAAACCCCUUCGACGAGUCGAGUUGUUUGGGAAUGCAGCUCAAAAUGGGUGGUAAAUUUCAUCUAAAGCUAAAUACCGGCCAGAGACCGAUAGCGCACAAGUAGAGUGAUCGAAAGAUGAAAAGCACUUUGGAAAGAGAGUCAAACAGUACGUGAAAUUGUUGAAAGGGAAGCGCUUGCGACCAGACCUGCCCGCGGGCGAUCAACCGUUAUUCUUAGCGGUGCACUCGCCCGCGAUCAGGCCAGCAUCGGUUUGGGCGGCUGGAUAAAGGCCUUGGGAACGUAGCUCCCCCCGGGGAGUCUUAUAGCCCAUGGUGCAAUGCGGCCAGCCCGGACCGAGGACCGCGCUUCGGCUAGGAUGCUGGCGUAAUGGUCGUAAGCGACCCGUCUUGAAACACGGACCAAGGAGUCUAACAUCUAUGCGAGUGUUUGGGUGUCAAACCCAUGCGCGGAAUGAAAGUGAACGGAGGUGGGAACCGGCGCACCAUCGACCGAUCCAGAUGUCUUCGGAUGGAUUUGAGUAUGAGCAUAGCUGUUGGGACCCGAAAGAUGGUGAACUAUGCCUGAAUAGGGUGAAGCCAGAGGAAACUCUGGUGGAGGCUCGCAGCGGUUCUGACGUGCAAAUCGAUCGUCAAAUUUGGGUAUAGGGGCGAAAGACUAAUCG
rnacentral:rRNA from 1 species